CGGCAAACGGGUGCGGAACACGUACACAACCUUCCGAUAAGUGGGGAAUAGCCCAGAGAAAUUUGGAUUAAUACCCCGUAACAUAUAGAGUAGGCAUCUUCUUUAUAUUAUAGCUUCGGCGCUUAUUGAUGGGUGUGCGUCUGAUUAGGUAGUUGGCGGGGUAACGGCCCACCAAGCCUACGAUCAGUAGCUGAUGUGAGAGCAUGAUCAGCCACACGGGCACUGAGACACGGGCCCGACUCCUACGGGAGGCAGCAGUAAGGAAUAUUGGACAAUGGGCGAAAGCCUGAUCCAGCCAUGCCGCGUGAAGGAUUAAGGUCCUCGGAUUGUAAACUUCUUUUAUUUGGGACGAAAAAAGGGAAUUCUUUCCCACUUGACGGUACCAAGUGAAUAAGCACCGGCUAACUCCGUGCCAGCAGCCGCGGUAAUACGGAGGGUGCAAGCGUUAUCCGGAUUCACUGGGUUUAAAGGGUGCGUAGGCGGGUAUGUAAGUCAGUGGUGAAAUCUCGGAGCUUAACUCCGAAACUGCCAUUGAUACUAUAUAUCUUGAAUAUUGUGGAGGUUUGCGGAAUAUGUCAUGUAGCGGUGAAAUGCUUAGAUAUGACAUAGAACACCUAUUGCGAAGGCAGCAGGCUACACAUAUAUUGACGCUGAGGCACGAAAGCGUGGGGAUCAAACAGGAUUAGAUACCCUGGUAGUCCACGCCCUAAACGAUGGAUACU
rnacentral:rRNA from 1 species